GUGCUCACUUUGGCAGAAUGUCUACUGUAAUUGGAAGGAUACAGAGAAGAUUAGCAUGGCCCCUGGGCAAGGAUGACAUGCAAAGUCAUGAAGCAUAUUUUU
ensembl:snRNA U6 U6 spliceosomal RNA